CUGGCAUGUAGCCCAGCUAUGGUAGAGUGCCAGACAAUUGGGGCAGCCACGCAUCAAGUGAGCUAUUUGGUCGAACAAGGUGGUGUCUGACAAAGAAGUUUCAAAGCUGGAGACAAGAACUUGUCAUUUAUCGGGAUAAUCUACAGCUGAUAAGCUGCACAAAACGAUGACAACAACAAAAAGCCCUUAAAGCAAAACAAAAACACUCUUAACUGCACCGAUGGAAAUGAUACGGGACUAACACAGAUACAACAGCGGAGGAAAUGGCAAAUGGAAGCAGGGAAGGCACAAAAGCGAGAGCCAAAGGAUAUUAUAGCAUGUCAGUAAUUUAAUCAAAGAGGACUACCAACUGGCAUAGCUCAAACAAACAGUUUGUUUACUUGCGUUGCCCAAUUGCUGCUGGAAAGAAAGAAAGAAAGAAAGAAAGAAAGAAAGAAAGAAAGAAAGAAAGAAAGAAAGAAAGAAAGGACUUAAACUUCAAUUCCUAGACAGUGCCUGCCUCUCUCUCUCCAUUGCAAUCCAUUAAAGACUUGACUGCUUCCUGAGAUGGAGCAAUUCUAGAGCACAAUAUCACAAAGGAUUCUGCACAGCAGCAGGAUGGGAGGGGACCCACUUAGAUAGGUUUCACUCACUGGUAGUAGCCCAGGGGGAAAGUGCAUCCAGCCAGCUGCACGGGCUCACUUCAUGGUAUAACUUUACACUAUUUUCUCUCUAAGUCGCUACUAAUCCCCUGGGUUUACAUGUUUUUUUGGGCUGCAUCAGAGAAAAGCAGUGUGAAAUUGCCUGAAAGCCUCCUUAUAAAUAAGACUUAUGAUAGAGACUAGGUUGGUUGAUGAAAAGGCUGAAAGCAAUGCCCCCAGGGAUCCCCAAAAACCAUUUUACAAGUCUCCUGCUGCGAUUUUUGGUCUCUAUCUAAUGACUGAUAACUUAAAGAAAUAAAGGAAAGGACAGGGUGGAGGAGGCGGGAGGCCUUUUCUAACUAAGCUCAAGUCUCCAUGGCCCACUUUGGUUGAACUGGAAAUGAUCUACCCAAAAGAAAAUACUUUCAGGUUUAGUGUAAAUCUACGUGGCCGCUGACUAACACAAUACUUUCCCUUUUAAACAUGGUGAGAUGGCAGGUAAUAGUGCUAGGCAGGUGUUUUAUCAGUGCUAAGCAGGCAAAAAAUUCCUACUGCUAAUGAUAGGGAGUGUUGUUGUGCUAUUUUGAAUAUUUGGAGGUCUCGGUGUUAAGAGAUGCUUCCCAUUUCCUGGACUGAAAAAGGCAUUGAACUAAAAAUAUAAGCCCAACUAUCAAACCUGAGUAUGCUACUUCUACAAAUGUGAAAAGGGUAAACAUGCUGGAUCAAUAAUUGCAGAUUAUGCCAGCCCUCUUGAAGUGUGGCCCUUCCCCUACCCCGUCCUUGUGCUAAUGAAGAUCUCCCUGUUAACAUUAGUGAUAUGGCAUUUCAAACAGUAUUCAACACUUGUAAAUUGGCUAAAUGUCUAUUCUGCCAAGUUUAAAACACUCGUCAUUGGAUUAAACCUCAUUUCUUUGCCCUUCUUCUAAUGACAUUUAUCAAGUCCACUUAAACAUCCUGACCAAUCUGUUUCCUGCUGAACUGCAACAAAUGAGCUAUUUAUCUUAAGCUUGUUCAGUUCAUAUUAGCAGGGAAAGGUAGGCAUCCGUUCAAUACUUCAGAUACUAUAUAAAUCAAAUAGGACGUGAGCAAGUGCAUUUGGAUCAUAUGCUAACACUAGAAUUGAAGUGAUUUUUUGUUGGGAAUCUGGGGUGAGAUAUCCACCUAGCAGAAGUUGCCCCCAGUUCCAGUCACCACACAGAGGGAGCUUAAGGUCCAAAAUAGUUUACUGCUGCAGAAUAUAAGGCUUCAGUAAUACAGUACAGGACAUUGAUAUAUACAUACAGCUUGUAGGCUUUGUAGAUACAGAU